rnacentral:piRNA from 1 species
GGAGACCGGAAGAAAGAGCUAUCAUUA